AGUAAAAUUUAGGGGUUGAAUUUUGAAUUUAAUAACAUAGUAAAGAAACUUUUAGUAUACAUCCUGUAUAAAUCUUAAAAACAUUGUGAUAUACCCUCGUAUAUUUAGCUACAGUUGCACCAUCUAACAACUAUUUGUCAAAAUUUGUUCACAGAUUAAACGUCAAUUUACGUAAUUGUUUUAUCAUUAUCUAUGGCUUCAGCUUUCUUGAGUUCGCGAGUUGUGUGACUGACACCAGAUAUUGUUGUGUUUGUUGCGCCUUAACUAUUUUGACGGUUCUGACUUAUUAGUAAUACUUUCUUUGAUUUAUACUCUUUAUUUACACUGUGUACAACUAUUUACGCCCAAUGAAUGGCCUAUUGGCAAGACGAUCAACAUUAUUGAUAUCUAAGAAUAUAGUACCUGUUAGUGCUAUCUUGGGGCCCUCUUCCUGUCAAUGUUUAUUAUGAAGAUAAGUCCCGGAGUGAAGUCUGGAGGAAGGAACAAUUGUCUGGUGAAAAAUAGAGCUGUGACCAGUAUGGACCCAAACAAAUUGGAUCAAAAGGAAUAUUACACAAACUUUGGACAUCAUAGCAGUCUGCGUUUCAUCCCAGUAUGGAGCAGUAUCCUUUUAUUCACUGGAAGCAGAAAUAUCAAAGG